CUUCAAUAGGUGAAUAAACUUUCUUCUCAGCAUCACACGGAUCUUUCUCUAAAAUAGACCAUAUAUUAUGCCACAAAGCAACUCUUAGCAAAUACAAAAAAGCAGAGAUACUAGCUUGCAUCCUAUGUGACAAUAAUGGAAUGAAGUUAGAAAUCAAUGAUAAAAUUAAAAAAUAAAAGCUUCUCCAACACCUGAAACUAAAUGAUAUGCUAUUGAAUAAAUAAUGGGUUGCAAAAGACAUCAAGGAGGAGAUUAAAAAAUUAUUAGAGGUGAAUGAGCACACAGAUACAAUGUGUCAAAAACUCUGGGACAUUGUGAAGGAAAUUCUAAGAGGAAAGUUCAUUGAAUGAAAUUCAUUUCUUAAAAGAAGAAAAAGUUAACAAAUAAAUGACUCAACAUUACAUCUCAAAGCCCUACAAAAAGAAGAACAUAUCAACACCAAAAGUAGAAGAAGAGAGGAAAUAAUUAAAAUCAGAGAGAAAAUAAUUUAAACACAAUUAUAUAUUUGAUGAAAUAUCACAAAAGACUCUAAAGAAAUACCAAGAUAAUUAGGAAAUAUUUUGAAAAUUCAAUAAAAUAGAAAAAAAAUAGAAAAUCUUGAAGGCAUAAAAAAAAUUUCUAGAAACAUAUGAUUUGCCCAAAUUGAAUCAAAAUGAUAUAUACAAUUUAAGCAGAUCAAUUUCAAGUGAUAAAAUAGAAGACACAAUCAGAAGCUUACCAACCAACAAAGCCAGGACCAGAUGGAUACACAGCUGAGUUCUACAAGAUCUUUAAAGAAGGACUAACAUCAAUACUCUUCAAUUUAUUUAAGAAAAUAGAAAAAGAGGGAACACUUCCAAACUCAUUCUAUAAGGCCAAUAUCACCCUGAUUUCCAAAAUAGGAAAAGAUACAUGAAAGAAGGACAUCUUCAGAUGAAUAUCUCUAAUGAUCAUAGAUGCAAAAAUUCUCAAUAAAAUUCUCCAAAUCCAAUACAAAAACAUAUCAAAAACACAGUACACCAGGAACAAGUAAGUUUCAUUGUCAGAGUCCAGCUCGGCAGGGGGUCUCAGGAGAGAAUGGAUGGGGAGG
rnacentral:lncRNA from 1 species